rnacentral:ncRNA from 1 species
GGAUAAUAUUGGCAAACUUAAUGAAAAUUAAGGACGCAAAGCUAUGGGGCUAAGGAUGUAUUCUAUGCCUGCCAGGCUGCUAUA